GCUGUGGCUCAGGGGUAGGGAGCCCCUACUUUGCCUGCGGAAGGCCCCUGGUUCAAUCCCCGCCGGCAGCA